UACGGAGGGUGCGAGCGUUGUCCGGAAUCACUGGGCGUAAAGGGCGCGUAGGUGGCUUCUCAAGCGCGCGGUGAAAGCCCGGGGCUCAACCCCGGGUCGGCCGUGCGGACUGGGAGGCUCGAGCACUGUAGGGGCGGGUGGAAUUCCGGGUGUAGCGGUGGAAUGCGUAGAGAUCAGGAGGAACACCGGUGGCGAAGGCGGAUCUCUGGGCCAUUACUGACGCUGAGGAGCGAAAGCGUGGGGAGCGAACAGG
rnacentral:rRNA from 1 species